CCGAGUUUACAAACUCCCAAACCCAAUGUGAACUAUACCCGUCUACCGUUGCCUCGGCGGGUUCGCCCGCCGUGGGACCGACAAAUAAACUCUUGUAUUUCUAUCUUUUGGCAUGUCUGAGUGGAAUCAUACACAAAUGAAUCA
rnacentral:misc_RNA from 1 species